rnacentral:lncRNA from 1 species
CAGGAACUGAAGUUAACACAAAUGGGAAACUUGAAACUGAAGAGCUGACAAAAACAACCCUAAAUGAAAACUAUGAAGAGGAAAAGUUCCUUUUUCACCAUCACAAACCAUUAUUCAAGAAACCUUUUUUUAAACCUGUUCCGGUUUAUAAGCCUAAACCAGUUCCAGUCCCGGUUUUCAAGCCUCAUCCUAAACCAGUUCCGGUUUUCAAGCCUAAACCAGUCCCAGUUCCGGUUUACAAGCCUCAUCCUAAACCAGUUCCGGUUUACAAGCCUAAACCAGUUCCGGUUUAUAAGCCUAAACCAGUUCCGGUUCCUGUUUUCAAGCCUCAUCCUAAACCAGUUCCGGUUUACAAGCCUAAACCAGUUCCGGUUCCGGUUUACAAGCCUCAUCCUAAACCAGUUCCGGUUUACAAGCNCCUAAACCAGUUCCGGUUUACAAGCCUAAACCAGUUCCGGUUCCGGUUUACAAGCCUCAUCCUAAACCAGUUCCGGUUUACAAGCCUAAACCAGUCCCAGUUCCGGUUUACAAGCCAAUUCCAGUUUUCAAACCAGUUCCAGUUCCAACACCAUUUCCAGUGAUUAAGCCAAUUCCAAAACAUGUACCAUUUUAUAAGCCAAUUCCUGUUUUCAAGCCAGUUCCAACACCAUUUCCUAUCAUCAAGCCUGUGCCAAAACCAGUUCCUUUUGUUAAACCUAUUCCAUUUUUCAAACCUAUUCCAAAACACAUCCCUUGAAAACCAUUGUCAUGAUUUUUUAUGCUUUCAAAAACCCUAGUUUAUAAGUUUCCACUUCAACCCAAAUUUGAGAAACCACACCGCAUAAGAUUAUAUAGAAUCUUAAUUCUAUGAAACAAUGUCAUGGUUAGAAAAUGUUAUCCAUUCUAUUAUUUCCAUUAUGGUCACGCCUGUUCUAAGAAAUCAAUGGCGUUUCUGUAAAAACCCUAUCCCACCCAUGUUGUGCAGUGUGCUAGAAUAUUAUAUGCAGUAAAUGCAUUUGUUUCAAUAAUGUUGUAUAUCAGCUAUCUGUAUUAUUCCAAGAAUAGAAAUAAUAUGUUUCUCUAUUUUUGGCUUACAUGAUGUUUGUAUUUCCUUUUCAUAUUUUUUGUGAUUCC